CACAAAUCCUAUUCAACACAUCUAAAGCACCAGAAAGGAAAAGACACCUGGCGAGAAAGGCCAAAGGAGAAGAGAAGCAGCUAAAACACAAUGUAUCUAGAGACCAUCCACUUCAACAGAAUUUCUCUAAAUGUGUAUAAUAAGAGGCCACUUAAAGAGCUAAUAGGCAAUUAUGAAGGAAAAUCCUCUAAACUCCAUGUAAGUGCAAAAUGCUCUUGUACUAGAGGCACAAGCAUAUUAAUACAGACAUAGUUUUCACCAAAAUAUAAUAUGAAGCACAUAUUCAUGUCAGAGUUCAGAAGAAAUAAAUC